CAAUAGCGUAUAUUAAAGUUGUUGCGGUUAAAAAGCUCGUAGUUGGAUUUCUGUCCAGGCAGUGUUGAAUGGCCAGACGGCUCGUUUUUCCUGCUUGGUCUUCUUUCUUGCAGUGUGUCUCGAGAUUAAGUUGUCGAGGUGCGCAACAGAUCUUUUACUGUGAAUAAAUUCGAGUGCUCAAAGCAGGCUUUCAGCCUGAAGAUGUCAGCAUGGAAUAUUGGCAUGAUCUCGUCUAUGUUUUUGGUUGGUGGGUGAGGUAAUGAUAGAAAAAACAAUCGGGGGGAUUCGUAUUCAGUUGCCAGAGGUGAAAUUCUUGGAUUUUCUGAAGACGCACCAAGGCGAAAGCAUUUCCCAAGAAUGUUUUCUUUGAUCAAGAACGAAAGUUAGGGGAUCGAAGACGAUUAGAUACCAU
rnacentral:rRNA from 1 species